CACCACCUUCAAGAUAUAUGCAAAAUUAACAUGGCUACAUUGAGAACACAGGUUUUGCUUCCAUCAUUGUAAUUCUAUUGCAGUGGUGACAAUGAGACCUGUAACUUUU
ensembl:snoRNA